rnacentral:tRNA from 14 species
GCCCCUGUGGCGGAAUUGGUAGACGCGGCAGACUCAAAAUCUGUUUCACUUAGUGAGUGGGAGUUCGAUUCUCCCCGGGGGCACCA